GACGAACGCUGGCGGCGUGCCUAACACAUGCAAGUCGAGCGAAUGAAGUUCCUUCGGGAAUGGAUUUAGCGGCGGACGGGUGAGUAACACGUGGGCAGCCUGCCUCAUAGGGGGGAAUAGCCUCCCGAAAGGGAGAUUAAUACCGCAUAAGAUUGUAGUACCGCAUGAUACAGCAAUUAAAGGAGCAAUCCGCUAUGAGAUGGGCCCGCGGCGCAUUAGCUAGUUGGUGAGGUAAUGGCUCACCAAGGCGACGAUGCGUAGCCGACCUGAGAGGGUGAUCGGCCACAUUGGGACUGAGACACGGCCCAGACUCCUACGGGAGGCAGCAGUGGGGAAUAUUGCACAAUGGGGGAAACCCUGAUGCAGCAACGCCGCGUGAGUGAUGACGGCCUUCGGGUUGUAAAGCUCUGUCUUCAGGGACGAUAAUGACGGUACCUGAGGAGGAAGCCACGGCUAACUACGUG
rnacentral:rRNA from 1 species